rnacentral:rRNA from 1 species
UGGCGGCGAGUGGCGAACGGGUGAGUAAUAUAUCGGAACGUACCCAAGAGUGGGGGAUAACGUAGCGAAAGUUACGCUAAUACCGCAUACGAUCCAAGGAUGAAAGUGGGGGAUUCGCAAGAACCUCAUGCUCCUGGAGCGGCCGAUAUCUGAUUAGCUAGUUGGUAGGGUAAAGGCCUACCAAGGCUACGAUCAGUAGCUGGUCUGAGAGGACGACCAGCCACACUGGAACUGAGACACGGUCCAGACUCCUACGGGAGGCAGCAGUGGGGAAUUUUGGACAAUGGGCGCAAGCCUGAUCCAGCAAUGCCGCGUGAGUGAAGAAGGCCUUCGGGUUGUAAAGCUCUUUUGUCAGGGAAGAAACGGUGGGAGCUAAUAUCUCCUACUAAUGACGGUACCUGAAGAAUAAGCACCGGCUAACUACGUGCCAGCAGCCGCGGUAAUACGUAGGGUGCAAGCGUUAAUCGGAAUUACUGGGCGUAAAGCGUGCGCAGGCGGUUUUGUAAGUCUGUCGUGAAAGCCCCGGGCUCAACCUGGGAAUUGCGAUGGAGACUGCAAGGCUUGAAUCUGGCAGAGGGGGGUAGAAUUCCACGUGUAGCAGUGAAAUGCGUAGAGAUGUGGAGGAACACCGAUGGCGAAGGCAGCCCCCUGGGUCAAGAUUGACGCUCAUGCACGAAAGCGUGGGGAGCAAACAGGAUUAGAUACCCUGGUAGUCCACGCCCUAAACGAUGUCUACUAGUUGUCGGGUUUUAAUUAACUUGGUAACGCAGCUAACGCGUGAAGUAGACCGCCUGGGGAGUACGGUCGCAAGAUUAAAACUCAAAGGAAUUGACGGGGACCCGCACAAGCGGUGGAUGAUGUGGAUUAAUUCGAUGCAACGCGAAAAACCUUACCUACCCUUGACAUGUACGGAA